UUUCUUACCCUGGCCCAGGAGAUACCAUGGUCAUGAAAGUGGUUUUCCCAGGGAAAGGCUUAUCCAUUGCACUCCAGCUGUGCCAGCCCCUGCGAUGUCCCUGAAUGUGGGAAGCCCGGCUGCAUAAUUUGUGGCAGUGGGGAACUGCUUUUGUGUUCUCUGCU